rnacentral:rRNA from 1 species
UACGGGGGGGGCAAGCGUUGUUCGGAAUUACUGGGCGUAAAGGGCUCGUAGGCGGCCAACUAAGUCGGAUGUGAAAGCCCAGGGCUCAACCCUGGAAGUGCACUCGAUACUGCUUCGCUUGAGUACUGGAGAGGUCGGUGGAAUUCUCGGUGUAGAGGUGAAAUUCGUAGAUAUCGAGAGGAACAUCUGUGGCGAAGGCGGCCGACUGGACAGAUACUGACGCUGAGACACGAAAGUGUGGGGAGCAAACAGG